CGUACACUCCUGCGGGAGGCAGCAGUGGGGAAUUUUACGCAAUGGGGGAAACCCUGACGUAGCGACACCGCGUGAGCGAAGAAGCCCUUUGGGGUGUAAAGCUCUGUCAGCUGGAACGAAAACAAUGACGGUACCAGCAGAGGAAGCAUCGGCUAACUACGUGCCAGCAGCCGCGGUAAGACGUAGGAUGCGAGCGUUGUCCGGAUUUAUUGGGCGUAAAGAGUUCGUAGGUGGUUUGUUAAGUUUGGUGUUAAAGAUCGGGGCUCAACCCUGGGACUGCACUGAAUACUGGCAGACUCGAGUGUGGUAGAGGCUAGUGGAAUUCCCAGUGUAGCGGUGAAAUGCGUAGAUAUUGGGAAGAACACCGGUGGCGUAGGCGACUAGCUGGGCCAUAACUGACGCUGAGGAACGAAAGCCAGGGGAGCGAAUGGGAUUAGAUACCCGAGUAGUCCCAUG
rnacentral:rRNA from 1 species